AAAACAUAUCAUUAUUAAAGGAUUGGACUGGGUAGAUGCAGGAAAAAUGUUCCCGAUGUUGGGGGAGUCCAGAACCAGGGGUCACAAUAUAACAAUAAGUGGUAGGCCGUGUAGGAUUAGAUGAGGAAAAGCUUUUUCACCUAGAGAGUUGUGAAUCUGUGGAAUUCUCUGCCACAGAAGGCAGUGGAGGCCAAUUCACUGGAUGU